ACCUGAGUAAUACCUGGCUCAUCCUCCACGUUAGAUGUGCACACAUAUAUUCGAGUCACCUGCACCUCCUGAGCAAGGAGACAGGCACCAAGUAGCUCAGCUCCAGCUGCUGUGA
rnacentral:lncRNA from 1 species